GCACAAAUUCCUUCUUCCUUUUCUGUUCUAAGUGCAGGAAGGGUGCACGUGCUAGCUCAAGAUUUAUAACCAAGCUAAUGCUAAAACGCAUGAAAGAUGAGCAGAUGGAUAACAGAGCCGCCAUGAUUUCUGCUGAUCACAGUCCUGGAUAGGAUGGACACCAGGACAUGUGUAGGUAUGUAGAGGACCAUAACAAGCUGCCUUUCUGUGGAUGCAGACGGAAGGUAUAUGAGAUCUAGCCGUCUGAGUAAUGGUGAGAAAAUGAAAUGAUCUCUGAAAGUAUAACACCUCAUUUCAUUAUCUGUAACCGCUUUAUCCUAUUCUACAGGGUCACAGGCAAGCUGGAGCUUAUCCCAGCUGACUACGGGUGAAAGGCGGUGUACACCCUGGACAAGGUCAUCACAGGGCUGACACAUACACAGACAACCAUUCACACCUACGGUCAAUUUAGAGUCACCAGUUAACCUAACCUGCAUGUCUUUGGACUGUGGGGGAAACCGGAACACCCGGAGGAAACCCAUGCAGACACGGGGCGAACAUGCAAACUCCGCAUAGAAAGGCCCUCACCAGCCACGGGGCUCGAACCCAGACCUUGCUGUGAGGUGACAGCACUAACCACUACACCACCAUGCUGCCCGAAAGUAUAACCAUGAUUAGUAAAAUGUCCUAAUUCAUGGCUACAUGUUAAAGCAAAGCUCUUAAAUAUUUUGACUGAUGUUUACUGUGUGCAGUGAUGACUAUCUUCUACUGAGGUUAUAACCAGUGAUCCUAAUAGCAUGUAUUACCUGAGCACACCACCUCUUCCUGUGAAGGACUUCAGGAAGUGAAGGCUUGAGGUAACUUUUUUUUUUUGUGUGUGUGUGUGGUUUUUCCCUAUAGGUGAAUUGAUUUGAUUCUCCGAUGGCUGAAGGGUGCAGUACCAAGUCCUUUUGAGGUGCAGACUGGGAUUGAUCUACAUCUCUGAACUUUGCAUGCUAUAUUGGCUACAAGCUAAAUUUUAUACAUUUAGAACUGGACCAGCAGUUCAUUUGGAAUUUGGUUCCAAGGAGAAUGCAAAGUAUUAUGCAGAUGGACUUAAACACCAGUGUAAACUAGAUGUAAUGGAUGAAAAGCCAAAUGAGGCAUGUUGGAGGAGAGAUACUAAUUUAUAUUUUUUAAAAAGAAACCUGGAAUGGCACUCUGGACCCUGCUGUUGUGCCAAGUGAGUUGAUUUCAUUGGUAGUAAAUGAGUUGUUCAUAUUUAAUUUUUAAAGUCUCUUUGUUAAUAAAUUGAACUGGAUCUGG